CCUACGGGUGGCAGCAGUGGGGAAUAUUGCACAAUGGGGGAAACCCUGAUGCAGCGACGCCGCGUGAAGGAAGAAGUAUUUCGGUAUGUAAACUUCUAUCAGCAGGGAAGAAAAUGACGGUACCUGACUAAGACGCCCCGGCUAACUACGUGCCAGCAGCCGCGGUAAUACGUAGGGGGCAAGCGUUAUCCGGAUUUACUGGGUGUAAGGGGAGCGUAGGCGGUUUAGCAAGUCAGAAGUGAAAGCCCGGGGCUCAACUCCGGGACUGCUUUUGAAACUGUUGAACUAGAUGGCAGGAGAGGUAAGUGGAAUUCCUAGUGUAGCGGUGAAAUGCGUAGAUAUUAGGAGGAACACCAGUGGCGAAGGCGGCUUACUGGACUGUAAAUGACGCUGAGGCUCGAAAGCGUGGGGAGCAAACAGGAUUAGAUACCCUUGUAGUC
rnacentral:rRNA from 1 species